AUUCAUUUCGUGACCCCAAAGAGUAUUGAAAAUAGAGCGCGGACUUGGAACAAAUUUCUCCCAAAUUCAUGGUACCAAUCAAAGGUACAACCGUAACGCCUUCAACGAGGCGUUACUGUUUUGAGGCGUUAUGAAAAUGAAAGGUGCAAUUUUUCCAUCGCAGCAAACUCCUAAAAAAAUCGGUCAAAACAAACAAAUCUCUCACAUAACGACCCAACCUGCACAAAAUAAUCUGAAUACAUUCCAAGAAGGUGUGCUUUUCCAGCCAGCUUACGAAGGAGGUAGCUUGGGAUGUGGUUUAAUUUUGGGAGAAAAAGGAACGUCGCUUAAGCAGAGGUGAACGGGCUCAUUUGAUUUUUGCUUAGUACAGUGCCUCACGGGAAUCAAGGACGAAGUCACCACGUAAGGAAUGUGCCUCCAGACGCCCUUCAUUGAUGCACGCGAUUGCUCGGAGAACUUGGACCAUGAAGAGAAUUCGUAAGAAGCUUCCGGCCAACACGUCGAAUGAGCCAUUGUGACCAAUUUUGAUGAUGGGCACGAUCUAGAUCAUGUUUCUAGCUGCUGGAGCUGAGUUGUGGCAACAGUUGGAGCUUUUAAAUCAUGCUGCGUUUUGGAACCUAGGCCCCUCUGGCCUUUAUGACACUACUUCUGACCACAUGCCCCUGAACCACAACUAACUUGCAAACAACGUGAUUAGAUCGUCCCACUGUAUAACUUGAUAAAAACGCUUGAAUAAAGAAAACACAUCUCAAU